GCUUAUGGCCCAUACCAUCCUGUCUAUGCCAGAUCAUGUCUGAGCUCGGAAGCUAAGCAGGUUUGGGCCUGGUUAGUAAUUGGAUGGGAGACCCCCUGGUAAUACCAGUUGCUUUAAGAU
ensembl:rRNA 5S_rRNA 5S ribosomal RNA